rnacentral:lncRNA from 1 species
AAAUAGUUUAAAUUUAAUCAUGGAUAUGGGUUACGUAUUACUAAUAGUAUACAAAAGGUCUGUUAUUUUUUAUCUCUGUUAAAGUUGGUAGUAAAGGUACCUAUUAUUGUUCUUAGUUUUGUUGUAUACGAUUUAGUUCUUAAAGAUAGGAAUUGUUUCCCUCUUCUUAAAAAAAAACCUUGCAGAAGGAUUAACUUGAGACCCGGAGGUCAAUUGAUUGUUGAAGCAAUAGAUACUAUUGAGAUAUUGUAUCUUGGGUCCUGUUUUGAGUAGAUUUUAGACCUGUUUGGCAGGUUGGAAGAAGGGUGUCCUUAGUGGAGUUUAAUUUGGCUCUAAGGCAAAAGACUUUGGAGAUUCAUGAAGGAGAAGGUGAGUUUAUGGAGGAGGCUGAUUGGGAGUCAAUUUGGAGUGGAGAAUCCUGGGUGGUACACUAGAAAUCUAAGCGGGCCUUAUGGUGUGGGGCUAUGGAAGAUGAUUAAUUCAAAUAAGGGGUUUGACCAGAACUUCAUUCAUUGAAAAGUGGAAGGAGGAAAUAAGGUGAGUCUAUGAAGAUAUAAUUGAUGGGAAGGGGAAAUUCUCCGAUUGAGAUGCUCAUUAAUUUUUGACCUUGCUCUGAAUAAGGAUACUUGAGAGGAUGAGGUGUACCUUGGCAGUAGAUCUUAAGUAGUUGUUUUGUCCAGGGAUCUAAAUGACUCGGAGGUAGAUAUUUAUUUGGAGCUCCUCAAUAUGUUAUCACAGGUGGUGAUCCUACAUCGAGUCUAAGUUUGAAGGGCUCUUCUACAAUCAAAUCCUACUAUCUUCAUUUGAGCAGAAAAAUGGUGUGGAAGGUGAGAGCAACUCUCUGGGUGGCCUGUACAAGAAACAAUUCGAGACAAGAUCCUGGGUCUUAGUUGUGCAAGGCAGAAGUUGAGAUAUGUAAUGCCCCUUCAAGGAUCUUCUAUGGGUUUUGGCUUAUAGCGGGGGUCUGAACUGGGUUAUAGUGUGAACCUAAGGAGGAGUUGUGGGCAUGGAGAGACAUUUAGAGUGAUAAGCAGACAAUUAAGCUUAUCCCUUAGGCUACUUUAGGGUUAUUUGGAAAAACAGGAGUAAGGAGGCUUUUGAGGAUAUGGAUGCUAAUUUUGAUAGAUUUGACAACUCUUGGUUCUUGGUCUUGAGUUUUUUGAUUAAUUGUCAACUAUUUUCUUCAAGUGAGGAUUUAGGAGAUUUUUUUAAUAUUUCGAUAGAUCUAUAAG